AACUCAUUCAGCUUGAAGAGCCU
rnacentral:siRNA from 1 species